rnacentral:rRNA from 1 species
CUACGGGGCGCUGCAGUCGAGAAUAGUCUACAAUGGACGAAAGUCUGAUAGUGCGACGCCGCGUGGAUGAAGAAGCAUUUCGGUGUGUAAAGUCCUUUUCUGUGUGGGCAAUGUUUUCCAGGUUAAUAGCUUGGAGAAAGCGAUAUUAACACAGGAAUAAGCUCCGGCUAACUCCGUGCCAGCAGCCGCGGUAACACGGGGGGAGCAAGCGUUGUCCGGAAUUACUAGGCGUAAAGGGUAAGUAGGCGGAAUUGUAAGUCAGAUGUUAAAGGCACCGGCUCAACCGGUGUAUGGCAUUUGAUACUGUAAUUCUAGAGUAAGGUGGGGGAAGACGGAAUUCCUGGUGUAGCGGUGGAAUGCGCAGAUAUCAGGAGGAACACCAGAGGCGCAGGCGGUCUUCUAUACCAUUACUGACGCUCAAUUACGAAGGUGUGGGUAUCAAACAGGAUUAGAUACCCUUGUAGUC